rnacentral:rRNA from 1 species
GAUGAACGCUAGCGGCAGGCCUAACACAUGCAAGUCGAGGGGCAGCGGGGGUUCCAGCAAUGGGACUUGCCGGCGACCGGCGCACGGGUGAGUAACGCGUAUGCGACCUGCCUUCCCCAGGGGCACAACCCGGCGAAAGCCGGGCUAAUACCGCAUGAAGCCGGGGGCCCGCAUGGGUUUCCGGCCAAAGGAGAGAUCCGGGGGGAGAUGGGCAUGCGUCCGAUUAGCUUGACGGCGGGGCAACGGCCCACCGUGGCGACGAUCGGUAGGGGUUCCGAGAGGGAGGUCCCCCACACUGGGACUGAGACACGGCCCAGACUCCUACGGGAGGCAGCAGUGAGGAAUAUUGGUCAAUGGGCGGAAGCCUGAACCAGCCAUGCCGCGUGAAGGAAGAAGGCCUGGAAGGUCGCAGACUUCUUUUAGACGGGGACAACAGGGGGCACGGGUGCCCCCGCGAGGGUACCGUCAGAAUAAGCAUCGGCUAACUCCGUGCCAGCAGCCGCGGUAAUACGGAGGAUGCGAGCGUUAUCCGGAUUUAUUGGGUCUAAAGGGCGCGUAGGCGGCCGCGCAAGCGGGCGGUGAAAACACGGGGCUCAACCCCGUGCUUGCCGUCGGAACUGCGUGGCUUGGGUACGGAGGAGGCGAGCGGAAUGUGUGGUGUAGCGGUGAAAUGCGUAGAUAUCACACAGAACACCGAUUGCGAAGGCAGCUCGCCGUACCGGGACCGACGCUGAGGCGCGAAAGCGUGGGGAUCGAACGGGAUUAGAUACCCCGGUAGUCCACGCCGUAAACGAUGAUCACUGGCCGUUGCGCCGUAUAGGGGGCAGUGGCUGAGCGAAGGCGUUAAGUGAUCCACCUGGGGAGUACGCCGGCAACGGUGAAACUCAAAGGAAUUGACGGGGGCCCGCACAAGCGGAGGAACAUGUGGUUUAAUUCGAUGAUACGCGAGGAACCUUACCCGGGCUUGAAAGUUAGCGAAGCGGGCGGAAACGCCCGUGCCCGCGAGGGCGCGAAACUAGGUGCUGCAUGGUUGUCGUCAGCUCGUGCCGUGAGGUGUCGGCUCAAGUGCCAUAACGAGCGCAACCCCUGCCGCCAGUUGCCACCGGGAAAGCCGGGCACUCUGGCGGGACUGCCGCCGCAAGGUGAGAGGAAGGCGGGGAUGACGUCAAAUCAGCACGGCCCUUACGUCCGGGGCGACACACGUGUUACAAUGGGCCGUACAGAGGGAAGCCAGGCGGCGACGCCGAGCGGAUCCCGAAAGCGGCCCGUAGUUCGGAUUGGAGUCUGCAACCCGACUCCAUGAAGCCGGAUUCGCUAGUAAUCGCGCAUCAGCCAUGGCGCGGUGAAUACGUUCCCGGGCCUUGUACACACCGCCCGUCAAGCCAUGGGAGCCUGUGGCGCCUGAAGUCCGCCGCCGUGAGGGGCGGCCUAGGGCGAAACCGGUGACUGGGGC